rnacentral:rRNA from 1 species
AACGAACGCUGGCGGCAUGCCUAACACAUGCAAGUCGAACGAGACCUUCGGGUCUAGUGGCGCACGGGUGCGUAACGCGUGGGAACCUGCCCUUAGGUUCGGAAUAACUCCCCGAAAGGGGGCCAAAAACGGAUAAUGUCCUUGGACCAAAGAUUUAUCGCCCUUGGAUGGGCCCGCGUUGGAUUAGCUAGUUGGUAGGGUAAAAGCCUACCAAGGCGACGAUCCAUAGCUGGUCUGAGAGGAUGAUCAGCCACACUGGGACUGAGACACGGCCCAGACUCCUACGGGAGGCAGCAGUGGGGAAUAUUGGACAAUGGGCGAAAGCCUGAUCCAGCAAUGCCGCGUGAGUGAUGAAGGCCUUAGGGUUGUAAAGCUCUUUUACCCGGGAUGAUAAUGACAGUACCGGGAGAAUAAGCUCCGGCUAACUCCGUG